CUGGUUCCAGUAAAGCACUUCAACUGCACAUGGAGGACAGAAAAUCCUUGAAUUUGCUCUGCGGUAACAUUUAAUCUCAGGUGCAGGAGUUGCAGGUUUGUCACAAUGAGGAUUUUAAUCUCAUUGUCUGUGUGUCUGCUGUUGUUGAUUUGUGGUGGAAUUAUCAAUGGAGAAACAUCAGGUACUGUAAUCAAUCUUCUACUUCAUAUAAUC